rnacentral:tRNA from 1 species
GGCCGCCUGGCGUAAUGGCAACGCGUCUGACUACGAUUGAGUAACAUCAGGAGAUUGCAGGUUCGACCCCUGCGGUGGUCA